rnacentral:rRNA from 1 species
GAUGAACGCUGGCGGCGUGCCUAUACCUGCAAGUCGCGCGAACGGACGAGAAGCUUGCUUCUCUGAUGUUAGCGGCGGACGGGUGAGUAACACGUGGAUAACCUACCUAUAAGACUGGGAUAACUUCGGGAAACCGGAUCUAAUACCGGAUGAUAUUUUGAACCGCAUGGUUCAAAAGUGAAAGACGGUCUUGCUGUCACUUAUAGAUGGAUCCGCGCUGCAUUAGCUAGUUGGUAAGGUAACGGCUUACCAAGGCAACGAUGCAUAGCCGACCUGAGAGGGUGAUCGGCCACACUGGAACUGAGACACGGUCCAGACUCCUACGGGAGGCAGCAGUAGGGAAUCUUCCGCAAUGGGCGAAAGCCUGACGGAGCAACGCCGCGUGAGUGAUGAAGGUCUUUGGAUCGUAAAACUCUGUUAUUAGGGAAGAACAUAUGUGUAAGUAACUGUGCACAUCUUGACGGUACCUAAUCAGAAAGCCACGGCUAACUACGUG